AACCUAGCACACCUGCGGUGUGUACCUGCGGAAGGAUCAUUACAGAGUUGCAAAACUCCCUAAACCAUUGUGAACGUUACCUAAACCGUUGCUUCGGCGGGCGGCCCGGGUCCUUCCCGGCGCCCCUCGGCCCUCGCGGGCGCCCGCCGGAGGUAAACCAAACUAUUGCAUUGUAUGGCCUCUCUGAGUCUUCUGUACUGAAUAAGUCAAAACUUUCAGCAAUGGAUCUCAGAUCGGAAG
rnacentral:misc_RNA from 1 species